ACGAACGCUGGCGGCAUGCCUAACACAUGCAAGUCGAACGAUGGUUUAACCAUAGUGGCGCACGGGUGAGUAACGCGUGGGAACCUGCCUGACAGUGGGGGAUAACCUUGGGAAACUGAGGCUAAUACCGCAUAUACCCUGAGGGGGAAAGAUUUAUCGCUGUUAGAGGGGCCCGCGUCGGAUUAGCUAGUUGGUGGGGUAAAGGCCUACCAAGGCAACGAUCUGUAGCUGGUCUGAGAGGAUGAUCAGCCACACUGGGACUGAGACACGGCCCAGACUCCUACGGGAGGCAGCAGUGGGGAAUAUUGGACAAUGGGCGCAAGCCUGAUCCAGCAAUGCCGCGUGAGUGAUGAAGGCCUUAGGGUUGUAAAGCUCUUUCGACGGGGACGAUGAUGACGGUACCCGUAGAAGAAGCCCCGGCUAACUUCGU
rnacentral:rRNA from 1 species